CAAUGAGAUAUAAUAUGCGCAGAAUGAACCAAAACUAGUCGGAUGAUGAACGUGAUCUCACGUGGAACAAAUGCUACGCUUGUUUACAUUUAAAUCUUGCUAAAGUGAGAGAUGAAUGAGCAUUUGUCAAUUUCAUGCAUAAAAAGAUGACAAUAGAAAUUGAUGAAAUUAAAAGCAAUGAUUUUAUUACCACCUAUAUUAUGUCUUAUGCAAAACAAUGCCGGUAUAAUUGAAAGUUUAUCAAUAAAAGCCGCAUCAAUUUGUCUGAAGUUAUUCAUAUCCGUUCGUCCAUCUUACACCACUCUAAAUACUUUUUGAUUCAUGAAAUAUUUGUUUUAUAAACUAUAAAUAUAAUUUAGAAUUAAUAGACAUGAACUGUUUGGAAAAUGACGAAAUGUUUUUUUAUUAUGCUUUAAAAAUCUUAAAAGUAUAGUGACAAUGCAAUUAAAUCCGUUCUUUUGAAUGCAAUUUGUGCUGCAAUUAUUAAAAUCGUAUUAUUUACAUAACGAACUCCAACUUCAGUGGAUUAUUUUCAGCAGACCAUCAAAUUGCGUUGUAAUAAAGUUACUUAAUAGUUUCUGUGGAAAUAAUGUCUGGAGAACAGUUUUCAUUAGUUUGGAAUAGUUUUCCACGAAAUUUAUCAUCAGGAUUGUAUACAUUAUUAACUGAUGAGCAGCUAGUCGAUGUAACACUAGCUGCAGAAGGCCAAAUAUUACGUGCACAUAAGUUAAUAUUAUCAGUUUGUAGUACAUACUUCAGGGAAUUGUUCAAGGAAAAUUCUUGCAAACAUCCAAUUGUGAUUUUGAAAGAUGUCAAUUACCGAGAUUUAUCAGCAAUGUUACAUUUCAUGUAUCAAGGAGAAGUUAAUAUUAAGCAGGAAGAUAUUGCUAGUUUUUUGAAAGUUGCUGAAACUUUACAAAUAAAGGGAUUAACUACAGAAACUGAAGAGAAACUCGAGGAAGCUUUAUCCAAGAACGCACAAGAUUUGGAUCAAAUAUUUAGCACAGAACAGGACAGUGUUAAUUCUGCAAAAUCAGACUUAAAUACUCCUAGUUUUGAGAAAACUAAACAGAUAGUACAGAAUCAACAAUCUCAGGGACAAGAAAUAUCAAACAGUGAACUUGAAAAAGAUACAAAUGUCAGUAAUACAUGCUGUCAACAACAUUGUACUUCCGAUUCAAAUUAUAAUACACAAGAUAUUCACAUGACAAGGAGCAAUUGCUCUAGAGACAUAGAACCAGAGUAUGACGAAGAGGAACCACUAGACUGUACAGCUGAUAUAAGUCAUGUGGAAUCCAAGCAUGAACCACUGGAUUAUACUCUUGAUAUUGAUGUAGAAACCGGCUAUAAAGCAUAUUUACCUAAUGAACCGUUUCAUAAGCCCGAAGAAAAUCAAAAUAAAAAAGAUUUUUUACCAGACAUGCAGUUAGUUCCCUACAGUCAAAAUGUGCAAUCUCAACCAUUUGUAGUAACAUGGUGCAGAAAAGUUUGGGUCAGUUUCGUAAAAUGGAAGUACCCGAACGUUGUGGUGGUAGAAGAGAUCUGCAUCCGCACCAUUUUGGACCAAUUUCGAAAUCACGGGAUUUAUACUUUGCUGAUUCAAGCCCGUUCAAUCGCGGAAAACAUUCGGGGCCAUUUAAUUCACCUGACAUCGUCCAGAAGAUUCCUUCGAGCAGGCUUGUCCACAAGAUGCGGUCUUUACGUGUGGAAGGACCUUGAUUAUUUCUCCGUAGAUAAUCAAUUAUUAAACUCACCAUGCUCCUUUAGAGGUCGACCCAUCACGGAGUCCAACAUUCAGGACUACGUCAGCGAUCUCACGUCCAAGUUCUUCCCACCGGGACAACCACCGUGGCAGGUGCACGUAAUAAAUUGUUUCCUCCGCGGAGAAGAGUAUCAAGUUUGCCUGGUGAGGGUCCAUCAUCUGCUACUGCGUCAGGAACACCUAGCACUCGCAGAUUUUCUUCCGUUAAGAUACUCCACCGACGGUUGGACGUGUCAAGACCCAGAUUCACCCUUCACCAAUCUUUACGCCGAACCCGCUGCACUUCCGAAACUCUAUCAAAAGCUCACCGAGAGCUUCAGCAAUUAUUGGAACGAGUUUCUUUAUAAUAACGACCCGAACGAGAGGCCGGAGAUUCUGAAGAAGCAGAUCGGCAGUUUUCAGUGCGCAAAAAUCGGUGUUAUAGUUCUAGUUUCUUCGCUGAAAGAGUUGACGAGACGGUACAGAAAAGGUGAAAAGCGAGGUUUCUUCGAGGUCUUCUCCAUCCUCCAACGGGAGGCAAACAAACGCAGCUUCGGUCCCCUAGUGUUUCUACGAGCCUUGCUAAAAUCAAUGAAUCCUUUCGAGGCGAUAUACUAUGUCAUCACCUGGUUAUGGUAUCUGGCUAUCACGUUGACCCUGAAAACACCAAUACUGUUAUUGCGAGAACUUCGAGCCCUAAAAUCGCGUCAUAAGCACUACUAUCCUGACACUUUGACGUCCAUGCUGUGGUACUACGUUCCCCUGGUAUUCCAAGCCAGCAUGGAAGUCCUCUCCAUCACCUGGAUAGCGAUCAAAGCGCCGAAAAUGAUUUUGGAGGAGCUGUUCCUGAAGCAUCCGCAGGCGAAUCGUCUUCAGACGACGUCUCCUUGCGGUCGGAAGGUGGUUGCGUGGUCGGAGGAGGUUGAAUUCGAGGUUCUGCGAAAGAUUUCUAGUAUGACCGGCGCGACGGAAGCUGAAAUACUGUUAGCUGCCACGGUCGACGCCUUGAAGGAGUAUUUCCGUCAUUCGGAAGUUAGGAUACCGGAUGACGUGCUCGCCACUGGGAAGUUUACCAGUCAGAGAGCGAUAUUCGUGCAGAAUCAUGAGCCCAGAGGGGUUCUGUGUCUUGCGCUGCCUACUAGGACACCGCUUUUCGAGGACGAUCUGGUUGAAAUUUUACAGGUCAUCCAGAAAAACGUGCGAGAAGCGAGAUCGAAACAAAGCGCCUUGUACGCCAUUACGGCGGCGGAGGCGUCUGUCGGCUUGAUUUCUUCUUGUUUACCUUCGUUGAUGCUCAAGGUGUUGUUAAAUCAAUUAACGAGAAGGUAUUCUCUCUCCUUGACACACGUCGACGGAGAUUUACCGGUGGAAGGCGUCGAUGCUGUGAUGUACUGGAGACCGCCUCAAGGCAACUGCAAUAUGUCGAUAACUCUACACAGGUAUGGAAACGGCGUACGUAUGGGUGUGAUGGGUGACGCGCUAAUUGGCCCCGAACACUCAAUUAUCACGAGGACCUUUCCGAAAAGUGUGGAGAAUCUCGCUAACGUGGUUGGUGUACCAAGAACUCCUAGCAGGAAUUCGACGCCGAGUCCAGCAAGUCCGAGUACAUCGCCAGGACAUUAAAUAUGCAGGAGGACUAUGUAACAUAAGUCACGUACUUCUGAGAAGAUAAAUAUUCUCUUUUUUUACCAAAAGAGAUUUAACGAAAUUUCGACUCGUGUAAGGAGAUUCGAUCGGAUACAGAGAAAGAAACUAAACAAGAAAGAAAAAUGUGGUUAUUUUUGUCCUUCCCUUGCUCCGUUACUUUUCUCGCGUUUAAUUACAUAACAAGGUUAGUGUAAUAAAAAACACAUUUGAUUGCGUUUUUAUAUGCUGCAUGUAUAUAUUUAUAUAAAUAUAAAUGUUCGUAUCUAUUUAUA
rnacentral:misc_RNA from 1 species